rnacentral:rRNA from 1 species
AUGCACGGUGGUGAUGGAGCCGGCGGCAGGGGGCGAAGCAACCGCCCUCCAAUGCAGCUUGGCGGCGGCAGGGGGCGAGGCAAACGCCCUCCAGUGCACCGUGGCGGCGGGGGCCGAGAAACCGGUAGAGGGGGCGAUGGAGGAGGGAGGGGUGUGGCUGCUCCUGUGGCAACUGACGAGAGCAACCCGGGCGAAGCGCACUCGGGCCAAGGCACAAGUAAUAAAGGAGCUAAAAAGAGGGAGUUUCGAAUUCCUUUCACAGUUGAACAAAUAAAGGUGACAAAUAUCAAACACAUUGGAGAUAGAGGAAGGUUAAAGAUGAGAAAGCCAAGUCACUGUCAGGAAAUGGAAGUAAUUUUGGACUUACAGGACCCGUCUAGUUUGUACCGCUUGAGAAUAAUGUUACAGUUUUUCCAUCCGAAUAUAUUACGCUGUGAGGGGUUGGUACGAGAUCAAAAUUCGUUUGCGACAUUUGUGGUGCCAUAUAGUGGUCUGUUAUCUGAAUUUUUAAAAAAUGUGGCCCUCUUCAAUAAGGAAUAUGUUGUUCCUUCUUCGGAAUUGCAAAGCAUCAUAAGACAAAUUGUUGAAGGUUUGGAUGAACUGAGAUCGCAUGGUUAUUACCAUGGCAACUUCAGUUUAAACAACACUUACUAUCAAAUGGAGGGAAGCAAAAUAAUUGUGAAACUCGCAAACUUCCAGCAAAAAGUUUCAGUUAAUCUUGAUGAUGCUCAGAUUGAAGAUUGGACUGCUCUUGGCAAAGCACUUGAAACAAUCUCUACGAAUGUCAAAACUAAGUCUCCCAACACGAAUUGCAGUCUAAUUGAUGAUUUAGCCCAGAAGUUAAAAACUGUCAAAAGCCCACGAAGCCUCCCUAAUAUAAAAUAUGUGCUUCUCAAUGAAGUUUUCUUUUGGGACAAAGAAACACGAACAAAGUUCGCUAUAUACACAAUUCCCAAGCAUUUAUCUGACCCCACAUUUAGAGAUAAUGUGGAAAACAGAUAUAAGUGUCAGAUUCCUUGGGAUGGGCAUGCUUUUCGUGGGCUUAAGGCGGCUAUGAAUGACUAUCGUAUGAAUUUUGUGGACAAGAAAACAUAUGAUGGAAACAGCAAGUUUCACAAACUUACCUUUCUUAGUGGGUGUUACACUCACGAGGAUGAACUCAAGAACUACAUUACAGACAACCAACAAUCAGUUGAUAGAGUCUUCCAGUUAUGUGACCCUACCAUAUUCGUCGACGUAAAGAAGCUUAUUCCUUAG